AACGAACGCUGGCGGCAGGCUUAACACAUGCAAGUCGAGCGCCUCGCCAGAGGAGCGGCAGACGGGUGAGUAACGCGUGGGAACGUACCCUUAUCUUCGGAAUAGCUCUGGGAAACUGGAAGUAAUACCGAAUGUGCCCUUAGGGGGAAAGAUUUAUCGGAUAAGGAUCGGCCCGCGUUGGAUUAGCUAGUUGGUGGGGUAAAGGCCUACCAAGGCGACGAUCCAUAGCUGGUCUGAGAGGAUGAUCAGCCACAUUGGGACUGAGACACGGCCCAAACUCCUACGGGAGGCAGCAGUGGGGAAUAUUGGACAAUGGGCGCAAGCCUGAUCCAGCCAUGCCGCGUGAGUGAUGAAGGCCUUAGGGUUGUAAAGCUCUUUCACCGGAGAAGAUAAUGACGGUAUCCGGAGAAGAAGCCCCGGCUAACUUCGUG
rnacentral:rRNA from 1 species